rnacentral:tRNA from 1 species
UGUUUUAAUAAUUUAAAAAAAAUACUGAUCUUGUAAAUCAGAAUUAAGAUUUUAUUCUUUUAAAAC